rnacentral:rRNA from 1 species
GACGAACGCUGGCGGUGUGCUUAACACAUGCAAGUCGAACGGUAAGGCCCUUUCGGGGGUACACGAGUGGCGAACGGGUGAGUAACACGUGAGUAACCUGCCCUCAUCUCUGGGAUAACAGUCGGAAACGGUUGCUAAUACUGGAUAUGAGCUUGCAAGGCAUCUUGUGGGUUGGAAAGAUUUUUUUGGUUGGGGAUGGACUCGCGGCCUAUCAGCUUGUUGGUGAGGUAGUGGCUCACCAAGGCUUCGACGGGUAGCCGGCCUGAGAGGGCGACCGGCCACAUUGGGACUGAGAGACGGCCCAAACUCCUACGGGAGGCAGCAGUGGGGAAUAUUGCACAAUGGACGGAAGUCUGAUGCAGCAACGCCGCGUGCGGGAUGACGGCCUUCGGGUUGUAAACCGCUUUCAAGUGUGACGAAGCUUUUUGUGACGGUAGCAGUAGAAGAAGCACCGGCUAACUACGUG